CCUAGGGCUUUUUAGUGUGCACAGAGGAUGCACAUUUUGCACAUUUUGCACUAGGCAUUAGGCUGGCACAGAUUGUUUCCCCAGUUGCUACCCCAGCUCUACUAAAAAGGGGUGCUAUUUGGAAGGGGUGACCCUGUGGAUGUUCCAAGGUCAUUGAAGAAUGCUCAUGGAUUUCUGGGGAUGGCUGGGGCAUCAUGCACACACUGACUCAAACUUUCAACGAUCAUACCAAAGUUCCACAACAACCCAAAUCCUUCAGGAGUGUGUCCGUCUACACACCAGGAUCACAACCCUCUGGUCACAAGAUGGAAAGACUAUUUGUGGAAGUGGAACUUGGGAAAUUCCCAUCAGGAAGCCUUAAAGAUGUGGUUUAUAGUCAAAAUCAUCUAUGGGAACAGACACAACAAUAUGAAAAGAUCAAGCUGCACCAUGUGGCAUUUAUUUCCCAGUUUUUGAAUUCUGCAGAGAUACCAUUGCUCCCACAAACUCCUCUUUUUUUCACUUCUGGUAUAUUUUAUAGGAUGCUGUUUUGGGAACCUAGUCCCCAUAAAAUAGACACGCAUACAUUCAUUCAGGCCUGGCAGCCCAUUUGUCUGUCACAAUCGGCAGAUUCAUUGCUAUUGUCCUCUUAAUUAUUAGAAAAUUAUUGUAUUAUUUUGUAUAUGUGUUCAUUAUUCACUAUUUGUUACUCCUUAUUUGCCUAUUUAAAAAGGUUUAGUCAUCCAGUCAGGGAAAAGAAGGAAUCCCAAAUGUCUCAGGGGAACAGUCACAUAUAGUACCAUGAAUAAUGACUAGCCAAAGUGGACAGUUCACAAACACUCAAUAGGGUGAAAUUUGACCAGCUCUACUUCCCCAUUUGCAUCCAGCCGUAAGUAUGUGCAGAAUUUCAUGAAGAUCAGAUUCAAUUUACACUCUGCUUUUGCUUCUUCACCCAAACAGGUUAUUAUUACAUUGUUUUAUCCAGAGGCAGCAUUGCUAAAAUGAUCUCCACCUGGUCCACUCACCAAACUCUAUUGGUUGAUUUAUUACCUAGUAUAUGUAAUAUAUGUUUUUCUUUGACUUAAUGAUUUCCCAUCCUUCACUUUUCUUUUUACCUCUUUGUCUAUUUUGUAUUGGCUUUUCACUUUAAUCUUUUUUUCAUGACACACUUUCUCUUCCUUUUCAUUCCUUUUUCUUUUAUUUCUACUACAUGUAGUAUUUUGUAUUUCCUCCCCUUAUUUCUUUUGUGUUUUGUUUUCCGUUGCUUCUCAAGAUUUUGUUUGUUUGUUUGCUCUAUACUUCUGCUGAUUUCUGUUCAAUGGUCAAAAUGCUACUACUAUGUUUUCCAUUUCCAAUGAAAGCUAUUGAGGGAUAAUAACCACACAUUAUUCUUACAUUUAGGUUCUUCUGUAAUUCUUCCAGUUCAUGUAAAGCAAUGGAA